UGGGGAAUAUUGCACAAUGGGGGAAACCCUGAUGCAGCGACGCCGCGUGGAGGAAGAAGGUCUUCGGAUUGUAAACUCCUGUUGUUGAGGAAGAUAAUGACGGUACUCAACAAGGAAGUGACGGCUAACUACGUGCCAGCAGCCGCGGUAAAACGUAGGUCACAAGCGUUGUCCGGAAUUACUGGGUGUAAAGGGAGCGCAGGCGGGAAGACAAGUUGGAAGUGAAAUCCAUGGGCUCAACCCAUGAACU
rnacentral:rRNA from 1 species